rnacentral:rRNA from 1 species
GCCUACGGGGGGCAGCAGUAGGGAAUCUUCCACAAUGGGCGCAAGCCUGAUGGAGCAACGCCGCGUGGGUGAAGAAGGUCUUCGGAUCGUAAAACCCUGUUGUUAGAGAAGAAAGUGCGUGAGAGUAACUGUUCACGUUUCGACGGUAUCUAACCAGAAAGCCACGGCUAACUACGUGCCAGCAGCCGCGGUAAUACGUAGGUGGCAAGCGUUAUCCGGAUUUAUUGGGCGUAAAGGGAACGCAGGCGGCCUUUUAAGUCUGAUGUGAAAGCCUUCGGCUUAACCGGAGUAGUGCAUUGGAAACU